AGCAGCCGCGGUAAUUCCAGCUCCAAUAGCGUAUAUUAAAGUUGUUGCAGUUAAAAAGCUCGUAGUUGAAUUUUGGAUUCUGCCAAUUGGUCCAUCUUUUAGAUGAGUACUGGUUGUGUGGGGUCUAUCCGCCUGGUGAUACGUAAUGUCCUUUAUUGGAUGUUGCGGGUAGUCAGGACCUUUACCUUGAAAAAAUUAGAGUGUUUAAAGCAGGCUUAUGCCGGAAUACAUUAGCAUGGAAUAAUAGAAUAGGACGAAGUUGUUUUAUUUUGUUGGUUUCUAGGACAACCGUAAUGAUUAAUAGGGAUAGUUGGGGGCAUUAGUAUUCAAUUGUCAGAGGUGAAAUUCUUGGAUUUAUUGAAGACUAACUACUGCGAAAGCAUUUGCCAAGGAUGUUUUCAUUAAUCAAGAACGAAAGUUAGGGGAUCGAAGACGAUCAGAUACCGUCGUAGUCUUAACCAUAAACUAUGCCGACUAGGGAUCGGAUGAUGUUAAUUUUUUAAUGACUCAUUCGGCGCCU
rnacentral:misc_RNA from 1 species